UACACCUUGUAUCUGCAGCAUUGUAUGUAAUAUUACCCAGCAAUGUAUUGUCACUGGGCAGCAGGAUUGGCUCCCCCAUAGGGGCAGCAGCAGGGGCCCCAUGUUGGUGUGAGGCAGUCACCGCCGGGGGAACCACAGACUUAGUUUUUGGUAGCACUAGUUCCAGAGGUCCUCUUCUUAUGGGGCUCCGUAACUGCCCAUAGAGUAAAGAAGAUCUUCCUCUGCUGAUGGUGAAAUCUCCUCCCCACAUAUUGAGCAGCAGUGCAGUGGGCGGGACAGACAGUCUGGGGAGGGGCCACACAAUAUCCUCAUAGUCUGUCACCCCCUCACACCCCCCGUUUAUUACAUCGCUCCAUCUGGAGAUUAUGAAAUGCC